UGUCAUGGCGGCUGUGCGCGGGAGACCGAAAGGUCUGCCGGGUUCCUUUUGCCCCGGUCCGCGAACCCGUGCACAGCUGCCACCCAA
rnacentral:antisense_RNA from 1 species